GACAGAGGGUGCAAACGUUGUUCGGAAUUACUGGGCAUAAAGCGCACGUAGGUGGUCCGCUAAGUCGCGUGUGAAAUCCCCCGGCUCAACCGGGGAAAUGCGCGUGAUACUGGCGGGCUUGAGAACGGGAGGGGUGAAUGGAACUCCAGGUGGAGCGGUGAAAUGCGUAGAUAUCUGGAGGAACACCGGUGGCGAAAGCGGUUCACUGGCCCGACACUGACACUGAGGUGCGAAAGCUAGGGUAGCAAACGGG
rnacentral:rRNA from 1 species